GACGGGGCCCGCACAAGCGGUGGAGCUAUGUGGUUUAAUUCGAAGCAACGCGAAGAACCUUACCAGGUCUUGACAUCCCCUGACAACCCGAGAGAUCGGGCGUUCCCCUUCGGGGGACAGGGUGACAGGUGGUGCAUGGUUGUCGUCAGCUCGUGUCGUGAGAUGUUGGGUUAAGUCCCGCAACGAGCGCAACCCUCGACCUUAGUUGCCAGCAUUCAGUUGGGCACUCUAAGGUGACUGCCGGCUAAAAGUCGGAGGAAGGUGGGGAUGACGUCAAAUCAUCAUGCCCCUUAUGACCUGGGCUACACACGUGCUACAAUGGUUGGUACAACGAGUUGCGAGUCGGUGACGGCGAGCUAAUCUCUUAAAGCCAAUCUCAGUUCGGAUUGUAGGCUGCAACUCGCCUACAUGAAGUCGGAAUCGCUAGUAAUCGCGGAUCAGCACGCCGCGGUGAAUACGUUCCCGGGCCUU
rnacentral:rRNA from 1 species